rnacentral:sRNA from 1 species
GGAUAAUGGCUGUGGUGUUUACAACGAAUUGAUCACAACAAGUUACAGAUUUUGUUGUUCCUUUACUCCCACUGCUUCACUUGACUAGCCUUAA